rnacentral:rRNA from 1 species
GAGGAAUAUUGGUCAAUGGGCGCGAGCCUGAACCAGCCAAGUAGCGUGAAGGAUGACUGCCCUAUGGGUUGUAAACUUCUUUUAUAAGGGAAUAAAGUGAGGCACGUGUGCCUUAUUGUAUGUACCUUAGGAAUAAGCAUCGGCUAACUCCGUGCCAGCAGCCGCGGUAAUACGGAGGAUGCAAGCGUUAUCCGGAUUUAUUGGGUUUAAAGGGUGCUCAGGCGGGACAUUAAGUCGGCGGUGAAAUUUUGCGGCUCAACCGUAAAAGUGCCUUCGAAACUGGUAUCCUUGAGUGCAGUAAAGGUGGGCGGAAUUCGUGGUGUAGCGGUGAAAUGCUUAGAUAUCACGAAGAACUCCAAUUGCGAAGGCAGCUCACUGGAGUGUAACUGACGCUGAUGCUCGAAAGUGUGGGUAUCAAACA